CCUCCCCCCUGGCUUUGCAGGCUCUUGGUGGAGAAAAGCAGAGAGGCCACCCAUGGUAUCCCUGUGGCCCUGAGGACGCUCAGGAGCCCGGGCACCCCGCCGCCUCGCGCCACAACUAACAGGGGGAAUCUAUCUGACCUUCAAAACAAGAACCACAAAGACCUCCUCUAAUUUAUAUGUCGUUCUGUUAAAGUCACAUGUCUUCCCUGGAACAGACUCCGAAGCCACCGGCCUGAUGGUGCCAAGAGCCUUGGGCUUCCUCAGUGGGAGGUGAUGUGGGGAGAUGGAACAGGUGGCUUUUCUCGUUUCCCACUCUGCUUCAGUCAGAGAAGCCUCUUUUCAUCAAUUUGA